rnacentral:rRNA from 1 species
UGCGUAGGCGGACUAGUAAGUCAGUGGUGAAAUCUUUCGGCUCAACCGAGAAACUGCCAUUGAUACUGUUAGCCUUGAGUUCGGUAGAGGUAGGCGGAAUGUGUAAUGUAGCGGUGAAAUGCUUAGAUAUUACACAGAACACCAAUUGCGUAGGCAGCUUACUAUACCGACACUGACGCUGAGGCACGAAAGCGUGGGGAGCGAACAGGAUUAGAUACCCUGGUAGUCC